UGGCGAACGGGUGAGUAACACGUGAGUAACCUGCCCUUAACUCUGGGAUAAGCCUGGGAAACUGGGUCUAAUACCGGAUAUGACUCCUCAUCGCAUGGUGGGGGGUGGAAAGCUUUAUUGUGGUUUUGGAUGGACUCGCGGCCUAUCAGCUUGUUGGUGAGGUAAUGGCUCACCAAGGCGACGACGGGUAGCCGGCCUGAGAGGGUGACCGGCCACACUGGGACUGAGACACGGCCCAGACUCCUACGGGAGGCAGCAGUGGGGAAUAUUGCACAAUGGGCGAAAGCCUGAUGCAGCGACGCCGCGUGAGGGAUGACGGCCUUCGGGUUGUAAACCUCUUUCAGUAGGGAAGAAGCGAAAGUGACGGUACCUGCAGAAGAAGCGCCGGCUAACUACGUGCCAGCAGCCGCGGUAAUACGUAGGGCGCAAGCGUUAUCCGGAAUUAUUGGGCGUAAAGAGCUCGUAGGCGGUUUGUCGCGUCUGCCGUGAAAGUCCGGGGCUCAACUCCGGAUCUGCGGUGGGUACGGGCAGACUAGAGUGAUGUAGGGGAGACUGGAAUUCCUGGUGUAGCGGUGAAAUGCGCAGAUAUCAGGAGGAACACCGAUGGCGAAGGCAGGUCUCUGGGCAUUAACUGACGCUGAGGAGCGAAAGCAUGGGGAGCGAACAGGAUUAGAUACCCUGGUAGUCCAUGCCGUAAACGUUGGGCACUAGGUGUGGGGGACAUUCCACGUUUUCCGCGCCGUAGCUAACGCAUUAAGUGCCCCGCCUGGGGAGUACGGCCGCAAGGCUAAAACUCAAAGGAAUUGACGGGGGCCCGCACAAGCGGCGGAGCAUGCGGAUUAAUUCGAUGCAACGCGAAGAACCUUACCAAGGCUUGACAUGAACCGGAAACACCUGGAAACAGGUGCCCCGCUUGCGGUCGGUUUACAGGUGGUGCAUGGUUGUCGUCAGCUCGUGUCGUGAGAUGUUGGGUUAAGUCCCGCAACGAGCGCAACCCUCGUUCUAUGUUGCCAGCGCGUGAUGGCGGGGACUCAUAGGAGACUGCCGGGGUCAACUCGGAGGAAGGUGGGGACGACGUCAAAUCAUCAUGCCCCUUAUGUCUUGGGCUUCACGCAUGCUACAAUGGCCGGUACAAAGGGUUGCGAUACUGUGAGGUGGAGCUAAUCCCAAAAAGCCGGUCUCAGUUCGGAUUGGGGUCUGCAACUCGACCCCAUGAAGUCGGAGUCGCUAGUAAUCGCAGAUCAGCAACGCUGCGGUGAAUACGUUCCCGGGCCUUGUACACACCGCCCGUCAAGUCACGAAAGUUGGUAACACCCGAA
rnacentral:rRNA from 1 species